AUGAAGAUGCAAUAAUAAACUGAUUUAUUUUUUCCCCCCUCUGGCAGAAGAAAUGGCAUUCAGAAGGAAUGAAAAAAAGGAAGAGAACAAAGGAGCAUAGGGAACACGACAACUCUGGAAUGACUGCUUCAUCUCUAGGAAGCCUUCAAAUAUCAGAAGAAUCAAGUCUACUGAGAGCAUACAGCAGAAAGCUUAACUGCACAGUUGCAGAACAGUAAAAGAGGGUGUCUUUGAAGGAAAAAUGGUGCUGUCAAUGAUGCUUCUAGGACGCUGAAGGGUACAGUGAUUUUUAUGUUAUUUUGAAGUGCUGCAUCUGUACAGCUGAAAAUUAGAUGCAGAGUGAAAAUUACUACUGAGACAAGGCUCAAGUCCCAGUACCAACAAGAAGAAAGCAUCUGCCAUCACUGAAAAAAAGGAUGUGUAAUCCUUUUAGGGCCAUGUGCCCCAACUCCACAAUGAGUGGUAACCUGUGUGAAGGAAUAAUGAAGGAAUGGAGCGUGCUGUUGUAACGUACUGUAUAUUUACUGUUGUUUUUUCUAACAUUAUAAAAUAGUUUGAACAUUAUGAAAGUUCUCUGAUAUAACUUCAUGACCCUUCCUUUUUCCCCAAGCACUUAUACCUUAACAUAUUUUACAAUUAAACCAAUUUAUUAACAAUAAAAAAGUAUUGAAAGACCAAAUACUGUAAUGAAAACCAUUACAAGAAUCCUUUCUGCCAGUAGUAAAUAACAAAAUUGAAAAGGUAUGUGUUAAAGGAACAUUAAAUAUCAGGCAACACAGUCUCACUGAUAGAGGUAGUGGAGAGCUGAGUGGUUGCACAGGAAUUAGUGAGAACCAGGAAUAUCUGUUAGCUGAAUAAGUUCAUUAACUUGUUCCUCAUCUGUCAGUCACUGCACGGCUGUGAGUAUGAAGGACUAUCCACAGGUACCCAUGUACGUUAAAGCAGGGUUCAGCAAUUUAAGUUAGUGGGACAAUAGGGUAAUCUUCCAACUGCCGUCAUUUCUGCUCUUUCAUCUCUGGCUCAGCAUCAGAGAACAAAGGGGCUGCAGUUUCACCCCCGUUUUCUUACUUCUCUCUCUCUUUUACACUUUUAAGUUCCUCACUGAAUGAGAGGUGCUGGUUCAAUCGGCAUACAAGUCUUUAUGCAUUUCUUGCCACAGGUCAUCCGAGAAAAAUUUCCCUGUUGGCUCCCCAUCUUCUCUCCAGUAACCUGGGUGUUUGUCUCAGACCUAUCUAAGGUAGAAAGUCCUACCAAAGCAAGGAAAGAACAAGUAUUUUUUAUCAUUGGAA